AGGCCACGCCCCCGCGGGUGGCUCCUGACCCCCGGAUCCCGGGGGAUUGUUGCGUCUGUUUCCCGGGCCUGAGACGGUGUGGGCUUGGCGGGCUCUGAGGUUCCGUGGGCUUGGCGGGCUCUAAGGUUCCCGCUGGUCUCCUGCAAGAUGACGGCGUCCUGCGCGCCGUGCGCCGCCUGUGGUUUUCGCCCCGAAAAGCGCUUUUCUUGGCGCUUGGUCGGGUUCCUUUUGGUGGCCCCAGUCCUCCUGCUCUCUCUAAACUCCGAUGCCUGUGGUGAGCCACCCAAAUAUGAAACUAUGGCCUUGAGGGAUAGCCCUAAAAAGUAUUAUGAAGUUGGGGAGGAAGUAUAUUAUCAGUGUUAUCCAGGAUACUUAACUCUGCGAUCCGUCGUGACUUAUUGUGAGCAAAAUCACUCAUGGUACCCUCUUGAAGAAGCUUGUUUCAGAAAAGAAUGUAAUACUCCAGGACUCGAAAAUGGUGAAGUCUUUGCCCCAAAUUACACCUUUCAAUUUGACAGUGAAGCUUACUUUUAUUGUAAUGAGGGUUAUUACUUAUCUGGAAAAAAAGCUCUACUUUGUGAACUUCGUGGGGAUGAUGUGUUUUGGAGUGAUGAAUUUCCAAAAUGCUAUAGGAUUUACUGUAAACCACCUGCAAAAAUAAAAAAUGGAAAAUACACCAAUAGUCACAGAACUAUAUUUGAAUAUAAUGAAUUAAUUACUUUCAGUUGUAACCCUUCACAAGGACCAGAUGAAUUUUCACUUGUUGGAAACAGCAAACUUAUUUGUGUUGACAAUAACAAGUGGAGUAGUAGCCCUCCUGAGUGUAAAGUGGUCAAAUGUGAUUAUCCAGUAGUUGAACAUGGAAGACUGGUAUCAGGAAUCAGAGACAAAUAUUCCUACCAAGCAGUGGUUCUAUUUGAAUGCCUCCCAGGCUUCUAUCUUAAUGGCAGCAACCCAGUGUUCUGUGGUGGGAGAAGUACCUGGGAGCCUGUGAUGCCAAAAUGUGUCAGAGGUUUCAAGCCUACUCAUCCAACCAAACCUCCAGUUUCAAAGUAUCCAGGCACAGCUAUCCCGAGCCCAACGACCCACUAAUACUUGAAGACUUUGAGGAAUUAGAUGCAGGAAUCAUUGCUGUGAUUGUCCUUACUAUUCUUGUUGGCCUUGUGGUACUUUGCACCUGCCUGUAUAGAUGUUUUCAAAGGGAGAAGAAAGGGUAAAUAAAAGCAUGUUCCUUCUAACUAACUCAUGGUCCUUCUCAGUCUUGACGUCAUUUUGUGCAGCUUUUCUGUUUGUCCCGCAUACCGUCUUUUUUUCGAAACUGCGCUUGCAUGGGGGCGCCAUCCUGGCUGCAUGUGUUUACUGCAACGACCUCAGGCUGCUCUUACUGCCCCUGCAGUCAGAGGACUCUGUGCAGAGUGGCCGUGGCUAUUAGGACUGCAAGAAACGUUUCUGUGGGAUUUGAGAGUUAGGUUCUGUAGCAGAUCACGGACCAUUAUGGGGCCUUCCCCACCCAGCUUUACCCUGUGUCCUACAUUGCACUGAUGGCUAAGACAAAAUUUAGAACGGCUCACUGUGGAGGCUUGGACAGUUGUAUUCCUUGGAAUUUGUAUGAUCAAAGUUUCCAUUUGUCUGUGUAACUUAGGUAAUUGUAAGAAGCUACAUAGGUUCUCAUUCACAUUCCCAAUUUGAUUUGUUUUUAUGUAGAGUUGUUACUUAUACUUGUUGAACUGGGGAAGGAAAAACAGCACUAUUUGAUUUCCCUCUUAUGUUCUCUUAAUUUACUAGGUUGCAGUAAAACUGAUAGGAUGAAACUAAACAUUACUGAGGGUUAAGAUUUACAAGGCACCUCAUUAUCUUUGUUUUUUUAUCUUUGUUUUUUCUAUAAAACUGAAAAAAGAGGAGGCUUAUAAUAGAAAAAAUUUGUACAAGUAUCUAUAGAAAAUAGGGUUUUUAAGCAUCAAACAAAUUUUAAUGAAAUGUCUUUCAAUUUAGUAAAAGACUUAGAACAAAUCCUAGAGCAUAGACCAAGAUUAGGUGCUUUGAAACUUCUGAUUUUUUAGUGAUUUUUAGUCAUUUUCUUUCCCCGUAGCUUUGGAAAUAGCUUUAACAUCAAACCUAAUAAUUUUAGGGACGCCUGGGUGGCUCAGUUGGUAAAGCAUCUGCCUUCGGCUC